rnacentral:rRNA from 1 species
UAGAGUUUGAUCCUGGCUCAGGAUGAACGCUAGCGGCGUGCCUAAUGCAUGCAAGUCGAACGGGAACCUUAGCAAUAAGGUGAGAGUGGCGCACGGGUGAGUAACACGUAGGUGACCUGCCCCAGAGAGGGGGACAACCAGUGGAAACGCUGGCUAAUACCCCAGAUGUUAAUAUCAUUAGAAAGUAUUAACUAAAGCUGAGGCGCUCUGGGAGGGGCCUGCGACCCAUCAGCUAGUUGGUAGGGUAAUGACCUACCAAGGCGAAGACGGGUAGGGGGCGUGAGAGCGUGGCCCCCCACACUGGUACUGACACACGGACCAGAUACCUACAGGUAGCAGCAGCAAGGAAUAUUGCGCAAUGGGCGAAAGCCUGACGCAGCAACGCCGCGUGAAGGACGAAGGCCUUCGGGUUGUAAACUUCUUUUCUGGGGGAAGAGGAAGGACGGUACCCCAGGAAUAAGGCCCGGCUAACUACGUGCCAGCAGCCGCGGUAAAACGUAGGGGCCGAGCGUUAUCCGGAAUUACUGGGCGUAAAGCGCACGUAGGCGGCAGCUUAAGUCGGACGUAAAAGCUCCUGGCUCAACUGGGAGAGGACGUUCGAAACUAGGCAGCUCGAGG